UCAAGAAACUGAUACAGCUGGCGUAUCAGCCAAAGCUAAUAAAAGGCACCUCUGGCCACUGCCUCAACCUCGGACAUUAUUUUAGGCUAAACAAGUAGGUAUUUAGGGCUCUCUUAAAUGCCAAUAAAGAAUUCAAAUUAUGGAUUUCUGCAGGGAGUGCAUUCCACAGACUAGGAGCGGCUACAGAGAAGGCCCGCCUCUGAGUCACCACUAGACGAGCCGGUGACAACUGGAGCCGGACCUCCUUAGAUGAUCUUAGCGUGCGGUGGGGAUCAGACCGAAGAAGGCACUCUCUAAGUGGUUUCAUGUAGAUGUUAAACAAAAUUGGAGACAAUACGGAGCCCUGAGGGAUACCAUACCAAUGUUCAGAUUUUGAAGAACAACAGUCCCCAAGGGGCACCAUCUGGAAUCUGCCCGAGAGAUGCAGUAGAAUCACUUUACAAUUGUCAGAAGCAACAACUAGCUGAACAACAACCACAAUCUGCAACCACAAGAUGCAUUUGGGGAAUUGGUGUUGUCAGGUUUUGAUAUUGGUUCUCAAUGGGAUAACUAAAAUAAUUAAUACAGGAUAAUGAAGAUGCUAAUGAAAUUAGUAAUAUGGUUACUAUUAGUACAUGGCAAGCAUACAUAAUGAGUUUUACAGCUUCACUAGAUUUCAAGAGCUAUUUUCUUUUCAUUGUAUACUGAGAUGCCAGAGCAUAAUUGCUGAGCUUGGGUCAUCACUUUGUCACAAAGAACAACUAUGUUAUUUCUUAAUAUGUUAUGGGGCAUGCCCUGCAACAAUUAUUCUGUCUUUAGACAAAAUACUCAUUGACUUCAAAGAACAGCUUGGUUUCAGAUUCAAAGCAACUGAUUUGUGCAAAUAGAAAACUUCUUAAUGUAAAAAGUAUGUCAAUAGAUGUUUUCCCUUCCCUCACACUAUACAAACAUAAAAAUUACCUUGCUUGAUCAGACCAAGGUCCAUAUACCUUGUAUUCUGUUUCUAAGAAUGGCUAGGCAGAAGAUUCUAGAAGUACAUACAAGGACAUAAGGAUGACGGCCAUUUCAUGUUAUUUCUCCUUGGCAUCUGUUUUCUCAGGUAUAUUUAGAGGUUACAUUUAGCUGUCAAUGGUAAUAGCUGAAAGGUGCCAAACACAGUGGUAAUAAUCAGUGGAUAUUGUGAUGUCACCUCUCAUUACAUCUGAACCUUUAUUAUAUCUGAACCUUGCUUGCUAAAUGACAAACGUUUACCAUCUGCAAUCCAAUAACAGAACUCUGUGAAAAACCUACAUCUUUAGAACACCUCUUGCUUUGUUUACCCUUCAACGGCAGAGAGUACUGAGUAUGGAAAUGGUACCCAUGGAGAAUAAAAUGCAUUCCCAGAGGACUGAGUGUUGAUUGCAUAGGGGGCAUGAUAGGGCCUUAGUAGUUUUCACUGUUCUUCAGAUCUUUAUGGAAUUAUGCUAUUCUGUCUUGGGAUUUUUGUGCCAAUAUUUAAUGGACUUCAACAAUGAAUGCCUGUCACAAGCAAAACCUAUAACUCUUCCAACAAAAUCAUCAGGCGUGAUUAUUGCCAGCAAUAUGGUAGAGAAUGAAACAAAAACAAUGUGAAACGAUCAGUUACUUGCCAUUGUUUAAUUGUAGUGCAGUUCCAGUUUGCGCAAGACAACCGCAGUGGGCUUAUGGAAGGAAGAUUCAGCUAGCUCUUUUACGUUUGAAUGCAAAAGACUUAGUGGCCAUUCUCUGUGCUCACAACAAACUUUCCCGGUUAGCUCAUAGAAGGCACUUAUUGUUGCUGUGUGUUAAUUUUCCAUCAUUAAAAAUGGAAUAAUGGAACUUCAUAGAGGACUUGCAAGGGGGGAAAAGCAUUAAACUGUGAAAGGCAAGGCAUUUUGAGUACCAGAGUAAUGGGGACCAUAUAAGUGCUUAAUAGUGCUAGAAACUGAGCACAUGGGAUUUGAGUACAUAGUUCUAUUAGUCUCUAUUGAUAGGAAAAUACCUUAAGAAUGGGAGGGUAUAUUAAUACCCAUAUACACAUCCCAUAUAAACAUUCUUAUAAAAACUUAUGCUCUGGAUGCUAAUUAAAUUAAUGCCAAACACUCAAAAAGAAAUGUAGAUGAAACAAAAAAUAUCUGUAGUGAAUACAAAUGCAACAAAGAAGUAGAGAGACAUGGAAAGUCCAUGAAAUUUUAAUAUGUUGCUCAUUAAAGUACACCAUUUAUUUCUAAUACUGAUAUAAGAAGGAUGCCUAAGUACAACAGUGUAUGAUGAUUUGCUCUUAAUGGUUUUGUCAUAAAUCUCUUGGAUUAUGAUUGGUGGAAUUCUGUGCCUUUAUUGAUUGUUCUGUGCCAACUUAUUGGAGCAUAGGAGUGGGAAUUUCUAACACAAUGUGUGAUCAAAGGUAGUUCUUUGAGGAAAUUAGUGUAUCCUCUUUAUUCUCCUAAGCAAGAGUUACAGAAGAGCUUCCCAGCCACACUGGCAGCAUUAAUAAUUACAGUCACAUCAUGACAUGUGAAACAAUUGCAAAAAAGAAAAGACAAAGACACAAAGCACACUUGUAAUUAUGUAGAAAGGUUAUGGAAAUAAUCAAAUUGGGGCAUAUGAUAUGAGCAAUAUGACUUAAAAUAUCCAGGAAAAGUAUCUCCUGCGGAAUACUUGAACCACUGAAAGUGAUUUGCAUUUGUACUGUAAUAGCUAGAGGCACAAUGCUGUGUGUUUGGUUUGAGACCUCAGGGCGUAGCCUUUCUAACUGCAGAACUCCUUGGAUACACAACAUCCAUAGUGAUUUCAAGCAACUUCUCGAAAACUGGAAAAUAUAACUGCCUUUAGUCUAAUUAAAUAGAGGCUGCACUCAUACUUCUUGAAUGAUAUUCAUGAACACCACAAAAUGCCAACAGCUCUAUAAGAGAAGAAAGAGAAAAGGAACUGCUUUCAAUUUCCUCAUAGUAAACAAUGGGCUAUAACGUAUAAUUUUAGGAAAGGAACACUCAGCAACCAAACCCUGUCAGGUAAAACAACCCUUCCUGUUAGUUUAGCAAUGGUUACUUUCAAAACUUCAUCAUCUUGGGACAAGACUCAGAAACAUGAAUAUUAAAGCCUGUUCUGCAGGGAUGAGAAAGAAUCCUUAGAGCUCACUAGAGAAAGAAAAAGUGAGCCUGUAUCACCAGAAGGAAAGAUUGAAACACAAGCAAGCAAUUAACCGUUACUCUGGUCUCCCAUAUGAAAAAACCAGAAACCUCUGCUGUAGCCCUUAGUUCUUCAUGCGGGGAGCAAAGACUGCUGUGGUACACAGCCUCAUUCAGACAUUAUGUUGUAUGGGCAUUCAGGUGUCUGUACAUAGGUCCAUGUUUUUGUGUGAAUAGCUGCACAUACAUUUAUUGUAAAAGUGAAUCUGGGUACAGGCUCCCUCAAUGCUGGGUACAGAUAAGAAGUGUACUACUGGAUGCACAUCAAACUCUAUGUGCAAAUAAAUUAAUGAUCAUUCAGAACUGUACAUGUGUACACAGACUGUACAUACCCUGAACAUUACAUGUGAAUAACAGUAUGUGUGUACAGAUCUGUAAGUAUGUAUACUGCACACAGACUGUAGAUGCAUUGAGCCACUCUAAUUAUGUUGCAGAUUAGAUCUGUCUCUAAAAUCAGAGCGAUAUAGACAAUCUAUAUGGAGGGCAAAAUGGCAAUUUCCACUGCAUUACCAUGGUGACUACUUUGGCAAAUACUGGCCUUGCACGUGAAUCCUCACAUCAGUUCGUAGCGGUUUGUGAUAUUGCCCACUAUAGCCCUUUCCAGACAUUAUGUUUUAAGUGUGUUCAGAUAUCUAUACACUGCCCUGAGCCUUUUGGAAGGGCGGUAUAAAAUUUCUAAUAAU